CCUACGGGGGGCAGCAGUGAGGAAUAUUGGUCAAUGGACGAGAGUCUGAACCAGCCAAGUAGCGUGAAGGAUGACUGCCCUAUGGGUUGUAAACUUCUUUUAUAAAGGAAUAAAACGAGGCACGUGUGCCUUUUUGCAUGUACUUUAUGAAUAAGGAUCGGCUAACUCCGUGCCAGCAGCCGCGGUAAUACGGAGGAUCCGAGCGUUAUCCGGAUUUAUUGGGUUUAAAGGGAGCGUAGAUGGGUUGUUAAGUCAGUUGUGAAAGUUUGCGGCUCAACCGUAAAAUUGCAAUUGAUACUGGCAGUCUUGAGUACAGUUGAGGUAAGCGGAAUUCGUGGUGUAGCGGUGGAAUGCUUAGAUAUCACGAAGAACCCCGAUUGCGAAGGCAGCUUACUAAACUGUGACUGACAUUGAUGCUCGAAAGUGUGGGUAUCAAACAGGAUUAGAUACCCCAGUAGUC
rnacentral:rRNA from 1 species